rnacentral:rRNA from 1 species
UACGGAGGAUCCAAGCGUUAUCCGGAUUCAUUGGGUUUAAAGGGUGCGUAGGCGGACUAGUAAGUCAGUGGUGAAAGCCUGUUGCUUAACAACAGAACUGCCAUUGAUACUGCUAAUCUUGAGUACAUUUGAUGUGGGCGGAAUGUGUCGUGUAGCGGUGAAAUGCUUAGAUAUGACACAGAACACCGAUUGCGAAGGCAGCUCACAAAACUGUUACUGACGCUGAGGCACGAAAGCGUGGGGAUCGAACAGG